UGAUGACACAUCUCCGGAAUCUCUGUAUUUUCAUGAUGAAAACUGUUGAACCCCUUUUCUGAUGACUGCUUAAUGUACUGAUU